rnacentral:misc_RNA from 1 species
UCCCCCUUCCUCUAUCAAUUUCAGCCACACAGGAACAUAUAGCUAUGCCUACAGCUGCCAAUGCUGAUGUAACCUCAGCCAUCAUGCCUCUUCGAUCUAUGCAUACAACAAAACCAUUGGAUUGAGUGUCCUUCCAGACUGUGCCAAGAGGCAACCUUGCUGGCAUGCCAACUUUCUAAACCAGGCAAGACUUCCUUGUGCAUUGGAAUGUUUAACUCUAUCAAUUUGGCAACAUCGUUUCCCUGUGAUAAUAACUCUCCCUUGGCCUCCAUACUUACCUGUUGCAAAUGCUUAUUAUGUUUCCCAUUGACCUUGGGGACCCAAACACUUCCAUUGUUAGAAGGCAUGAGCAGAUCUUCCGAACAUUUUCCUUGAGAUGACUUCCCCACAACCUUCCUAAAGAUUUUCUCCCACAAAGUUCUAUUCCAUUCAGUAUUACCUGGGAGUUCUUCUACUUCACUCUCCUCUUCAGAAUCAGCUAUAAAGUCAUUUAAUGUAUCUGCUGUUAUUUCAGCAGCAGAUAAUGUA